GAGCGCCUCGACGACAGAGCCGGCGUCCGCCUCAGCACCUGCAUGGCCAGUGCCUGCGAGGCUCAAGGCUGCUUGUCCUGAACCCCGCGCCGCCUGUCAGAUGGCAGCUUCCUGGAUGGUUGACGCUCAGGUCUUCUCGUGUUAUUCCAGUUUUAAACAAGAUGUCUCAGAAGAGAGGAAGUUUAUUGUCCCAUUUGUGCCACAGCGAGAAAGGAACCAAAUGCUAAUCACGUCCUGGGCUAGUCAAGUAUUGUGUUGGGGAGAAAAAGAGUUAGCCUCAAAGAAUUUAGUGAUUUUUGUAUUCUUGUAAUAACUGCAGCUGUACCACCUGUGUGUGUCUCGUCACUACAAAGACCUGCUGCCCGCUCUGUCUCUGGUGGGACCCUGGGUGUGGCCUUGUACUUAUCUGUGGAUGUUACCCUGGGCGGAUCCUGGCAGGGGCACUCACAGUGUCCCUGGAUUACCUCUCACAUCCGCCUUGGCUUUUUAUAAUUGUCUCAAUAAAGACAA
rnacentral:lncRNA from 1 species